UUUGAUCAUGGCUCAGGACGAACGCUGGCGGCGUGCCUAAUACAUGCAAGUCGUACGCUUCUUUUUCCACCGGAGCUUGCUCCACGGAAAAAGAGAGUGGCGAACGGGUGAGUAACACGUGGGUAACCUGCCCAUCAGAAGGGGAUAACACUUGGAAACAGGUGCUAAUACCGUAUAACAAUCGAAACCGCAUGGUUUUGAUUUGAAAGGCGCUUUCGGGUGUCGCUGAUGGAUGGACCCGCGGUGCAUUAGCUAGUUGGUGAGGUAACGGCUCACCAAGGCACGAUGCAUAGCCACCUGAGAGGGUGAUGCCCAUUGGGACUGAGACACGGCCCAAACUCCUACGGGAGGCAGCAGUAGGGAAUUUCGGCAAUGGACGAAAGUCUGACCGAAGCAAACGCCGCGUGAGUGAAAGAAGGUUUUCGGAUCGUAAAAACUCUGUUGUUAGAGAAGAACCAAGGAUGAGAGUAACUGUUCAUCCCUGACGGUU
rnacentral:rRNA from 1 species